AUUCUAAACUUGAUUGUAGAUAUCUAGACUAGAUCUAGAUCAGAUCUACAUCUAGACCUAGUGUCCUAGUCAUAGUCUCUAUCUACAACUUACUACAAAUCUUAAAGUAGUAGUCAAUUGAAAUUAACAAAAAGAUCACAAGAAAAUUAAUUCAGCUGUACAUUUACAGAACAGAUAAUGAAAAAAACAAAGCAAGCAGCAUUUUUAGACAAAGCACACCUCUGGACUGUUCGAACACUAAUGGGUAUCACUCUUGCUGGAAGUGCUGUGUUAGCCUAUCAACUGUAUAGCUAUUUUUCAUAUAUUAGACCAGCUAAAGUUGAGGAAAUAAGGAAAUUAAAGGAAGUUCAAAUCGCCUUGGAACAACAGCAAAAGGAAGAUGAGCUAAUGAAGCGACAAAAAGAAGCAGAAAACUUUGUCAAAUAUUAAAUUGUGUGUGUGUGUAUGUACAUUUAACAUUUCAUAACAUUUGCAAUAUCAAUAAACCUAAAAAAGAAAUAUAGAUAA
rnacentral:sRNA from 1 species